rnacentral:rRNA from 1 species
GACGAACGCUGGCGGCGUGCCUAAUACAUGCAAGUAGAACGCUGAAGAGAGGAGCUUACUCUUCUUGGAUGAGUUGCGAACGGGUGAGUAACGCGUAGGUAACCUGCCUUGUAGCGGGGGAUAACUAUUGGAAACGAUAGCUAAUACCGCAUAACAAUGGAUGACACAUGUCAUUUAUUUGAAAGGGGCAAUUGCUCCACUACAAGAUGGACCUGCGUUGUAUUAGCUAGUAGGUGAGGUAAUGGCUCACCUAGGCGACGAUACAUAGCCGACCUGAGAGGGUGAUCGGCCACACUGGGACUGAGACACGGCCCAGACUCCUACGGGAGGCAGCAGUAGGGAAUCUUCGGCAAUGGGGGCAACCCUGACCGAGCAACGCCGCGUGAGUGAAGAAGGUUUUCGGAUCGUAAAGCUCUGUUGUAAGUCAAGAACGGGGGUGAGAGUGGAAAGUUCACACUGUGACGGUAGCUUACCAGAAAGGGACGGCUAACUACGUG